AAACAAAUAGGUUUGGUCCUAGCCUUUCUAUUAACUCUUAGUAAGAUUACACAUGCAAGUAUCCCGGCCCCGGUGAAAUCACCCUCUAAAUCACUACGAUCAAAAGGAGUAAGUAUCAAGCACGUAUUAAUGCAGCUCAAAACACUUUGCUCAGCCACACCCCCGGGGGAGACAGCAGUGAUAAGCCUUUAGCAAUAAAGGAAAGUUUAAGCUAUACUGACACCCAGGGUUGGUUAAUUUCGUGCCAGCCACUGCGGCCAUACGAUUAACCUAAGCUAAUAGAGACCGGAGUAAAGAGUGUUUUAGGUUUGCCCUCAAUAAAGCUAAGUUUCAUCUAAGUUGUAAAAAACCCUAGCUAAUAUAAAAUAAACUACGAAAGUGGCUUUGAUACUUCUGAAUACAAAAUAGCUAAGACCCAAACUGGGAUUAGAUAUCCCACUAUGCUUAGCCCUAAACUUCAACAAUUAAAUUAACAAAACUGCUCUCCAGAACACUGCAAGCACUAGCUUAAAACUCAGAGGACUUGGCGGUGCUUCACAUCCCUCUAGAGGAGCCUUUUCUAUAAUCGAUAAACCCCGAUUCACCUCACCACCUCUUGCUCAGCCUAUAUACCGCCAUCUUCAGCAAACCCUAGUAAAGACCACAAAGUAAGCACAAGUAUCUACAUAAAAAUGUUAGGUCAAGAUGUAGCCUAUGAGGUGGUAAGAAAUGGGCUACAUUUUCUACCCCAGAAAAUUCCACGAUAACUCUUAUGAAACCUAAGGGCCCAAGGAAGAUUUAGCAGUAAAUUAAGAACAGAGUGCUUAAUUGAAUAAGGCCAUAAAGCACGCACACACUGCCCGUCACCCUCCUCAAGUAUAUUUUAAGGACUAACUUAACUAAAUCCCCUGUACAUUUAUAUAGAGGAGAGAAGUCGUAACAUGGUAAGUGUAACGGCGGAUAUUGAAGGUUUUGAGGA
rnacentral:ncRNA from 1 species